rnacentral:snRNA from 1 species
GGAUGUGAGGGUCAUCUGGCUGCAGUAUCUCUCACCCCAUUGAUCACCAGGGUUGAUUUGGCUGAUCUGGAUGGCUAGGUGGGUAUCACCUUACUCCCUCAACACUCCAUGUGUGUCUCUCCAAAAGCUGCAUACUGGCCUGAGUGAAUUAAACAGCAUGCCAAAUUCCAAAUUAAUCUCCACUAGAGGAAGAACCAUUCUUUGGCCAAAGGUAUACAAGAGCUAUGCUCCCCAGCUAGCACCUUCAAACAAGCUCUCAAAGUGACUGUAUCAUUUUGCAUUUCCACCAACAAUCUACGAGAGUUCCUAUUGCUCCACAUUCUCAUCAGCAUUUGAUGUCAGUGUUUUGG